GUGACAGAUAUUUGACAUAAAUUUUGGAUAUAGAUGACGUUACAAUUAUUCCUUCGAUUUUAUGUUUAUCACGUUUUAUAUUAUUGUAAUAGAAAAAUGCAGUUUAUUUUAUUUCAUAUAGUUUAUUAGUUAAUGUAUGUAAGUUCUACUCUGUAAACUAUUUUAUACAAAAUUAUUGUUUAACUGUUCUAUACAUUUUCAAAGCGUAGGAUAUUUCAAACAUGUCAAAUAAAUACUUUAACAAACUAUUGAACGUAUCUGUGCAAUAAAACUUCAGCUGUGGCCAAAUGGACCUUCGAUUAUAUGUCCAGCAAAGUUAAUAAAACAUCUUAAAAGUUCAGACAACGGUCAACUCACAUCAGCAGCUUUAUUUGUGUUAAGCCAUAAAGCACAAUCUAGUUCCAUAAUUACUUUUGAUUAAGAUCCGGAUUAAUAUUUAUAAUGUUAUUUUAUACUAUGUUAUAUGGAUUUACGUUGUAAUUGUUUUAUAUUAUAGUUAGGGAAAUGGUAAUAAAUAUAUUCGAAACAUAAAUUGGCAAUUUUAGAAUAAGAAAUUGAAGAGAUGAAAGAAAAACCAUUUUAUGUGACGUGUAAUUUCGACCUAAUCUUAGACCAUAACUAUAUUUGACCAUUCUAAAUUUUAUUGAUAACUCAUAAAUCAUCAAUUCUUUUGUUUGUUAUAGUCAGUUAAGGGUUACUAAAACAUUCAAAACUUAGUAUAUAAACUGAUCAAGCCGCUAUACAAUUAAUAGCGAGUUUCUUGAUAUUCUAGGUGAGUCUCUUGGUUUUGAAAAUAAUUUAGAUUUAAAAUUAUUUUUCUUUUAAUUUUAUUUUGAAAAAAUAAAUAAAGUUUAUAAGUAACUAAUAUUUUAAUUCAGAGGUUUAUUUUAUCAGUAAUUAUCAUUGUUAUUAUUUGGUAUUUAACUUGAAUUUUUUGUAGUAUUUUUAUCAUUGUUUUCAACUUAUUUUGACUUCAAAAUGUGUACUUUUAAAUUAUAUUGUACUUUCAAUGUUUUCUUUAUUAAAUUAAUAGCGAGUUUCUUGA